rnacentral:rRNA from 1 species
AGCAGUCGCCGCGGGAAUACGGAGGGAGCUAGCGUUGUUCGGAAUUACUGGGCGUAAAGCACACGUAGGCGGCUAUUCAAGUCAGGGGUGAAAGCCCGGGGCUCAACCCCGGAACUGCCUUUGAAACUAGAUAGCUUGAAUCUUGGAGAGGCGAGCGGAAUUCCGAGUGUAGAGGUGAAAUUCGUAGAUAUUCGGAAGAACACCAGUGGCGAAGGCGACUCGCUGGACAAGUAUUGACGCUGAGGUGCGAAGCGUGGGGAGCAAACAGGAUUAGAUACCCCAGUAGUCCCUGUCUCUUAUACA